AUGGAGUGUCCAGUCCGGAUUGUUGCUUUCUGCUAUAUAAGAGGACGGAAGAGUAGUCGGCCAGAAUCUCCAUCAGAUCAAUUUGGGACGAAACAUCCAAUGUCUUCGCCAAGUUCGCCGGAGGAAGAAGCGUCGAGUUUGCCGGAGGAACAACAACAUCCGUCGAGCACUCCAAUGUCGCCUGCGGCGGCUACACCAGAGAAAACAGAUGACAUCGCUGAACUGAAGAUUACAGAGGAUUUGGGUAACCGACCUUCAAAAAAAGCAAAAAUUGCGGAAUUAGGUGUUCUGGAGCCAUCACCAAUGUCGCCAACUAUAUCAGCAUCUACACCAAUUUCUGGAUGUUUUGAAUCCAUUGUGCUGGAAUCAGAUAUUCAGAUAGAUCAUGAUCCAUUGCCAUCUCCUCCAUCCCCAUCUAGCUCAACAUUUUCUUCUGUUUUCUCAUUACAUGAUGUCAAGGAACUAGAUUCAAAUAAAGAGAUCAAAGUUGAUGAGACAUAUGAUUAUCUCCCACAAGAAUAUGAAUUAACCGACCAUGAUCUAUGUGCACAUAUAGCAAUAGAAUCAUCUUUAAGUAAAGAAUUGCUGGUUCAGAUAGAUGGAAGUUCUGUGAGACAAAAUCAAUUGAUGUGUCUGCUAGAUAAAAAACGAGUGGUUAAAUGA
rnacentral:rRNA from 1 species